rnacentral:lncRNA from 1 species
GUUUGACUUUGAAGUCAUGGUCCUUGAUUUAAUGAAUUCUCUGUGGUCUGAUUGUAAGUGUAUUGCUUCAGAGCAUGUGCUUUUGUUUCUUCUUGGCAGGUGUGGUUUAUAGUUUACUCAAGUAGUGGAGCCAGGUAACUGUAGAGGGAAAUGAUAUUACCACUAUCAGACAUGAAUUGUUUUUCUUCUUCUUCUUUCUUUCUUCUUCUGUCAUUUUCAUGUUUUAUAGACACAGUCCAGGAAUGCUAAUACUGUAUCUAAAUUUUUCCCUUUUAAAAAUUUUGUUCACUUUUUUCAUCUCUUAACGUUUUUAGUUACCAGGAAGAAGAAAUUUAAGAUUUUUAAGCCAACUGAGGGGAUUUGAGGUCAAGUGUGUAAUGGGCAUGGCUAAGGACUCUGCAGUGUCUUCUUUUUAUAUCCUGAAUGUUGUAAUGGAUGAUGUCAUCAGAAAAUUAUCUUUCUGCAAGGAGAGGUAUUAGCCCUUGGAUGUUACUCAACCCACCAGCUAAUUAAAUCCUUAUUUUUCUAUCUCUUUUCUUCUCUUUCCAAAAUUGUAUAAAUCAUUCAAAUAGAGUAUACACAUAUUUUGUAGGCCUUAUUGUUAGGGACAUCAUAUGACCAAGUAGUUUCUUUCACCCACUUAUCCAUAUAUAGCAAAAACAGUAUUUUAUACAUGGAUUGUAAAUUAUAUUUUACAGUAAAAAGAAGCAGAAGGACAGCAUUAAAUCUGAGUCAGAUCACAGCAUUUCCUGUUACUUACUUAUACGAGACAUGUGUUUCAGUACUUUUCCAAUACAUUUCAGAGUUUCUUCUGGGGGAAGACAUUUCUAUGCUUAAGGUGCUAUCAUUAUCUAUCUCUGGGUUAGGGACUGCUACAGUUAAUACAUUUAAAGCCAAUGCUGUCAUAUUUGUAGUCGUGAUUUUAAAACAAUUAACAUAAAUGAUUUUCUUCCUCUAAAAUCAUUCUUCCAAAAACCUAAAUUAUUUUCAUGAGCAUGGGGAUUUUUCUUUCCUGUGUGAAAAAAAUGUCUGGCUCAUUAUAGGAGUUGAAUAAACUUUUGUAGUAUAAAUGAAUGAAUGUGCCACUUUUGAUCUGGGAAUUCAUGUUAUGUAUUUUAUCUGAUGCCACAAUUUUAGAGUCAUAACUUCAAAUUCUGUGGUCUCAGGAAAAAUACUUUUUAAUUCAAAUAGCUAUUCUUCACAAUAUUUAUAGUAGUAGGUGGUGAGGUUGGUGUUGAGAGACCCUGCCUUUUAUGGCAUCCCAAACCAGCAUUGAGGCUACAUGUAGAACUUGGGUGUGGUCCUAGUCCAAAUUGGUUUCCUCCAAACCAAAAGAAUAUGUAAAUUUGGAUGUGUGUUCAAAUUUAUUCAUGAGACUGAUAUUAAAAAUUAUAUUUAAAAUUUUCAAGGGUACCAGUGAAAAGGGAUUUAAUUUUUUUUUCGGUCCAUUUAGCAAUGUAUUUGCCAUCUUUUGGGGGGCAAGGCAGGAUGGAGAGUAUAGGUCACUGGCAAUUUCAGUUCCUGGAAGUGAAAAUGUCAGAGGCCAAACCAUCUUGGACUGGGGACAAUCACCACGACUGACACUUUAUUUAUACAAAUACAGUCAGGUAUCCACCACCAAUCCAAAAUCUGAAAUAAAACCACCGCUGACGUAAUCUGUCUGAAUGCAGAUUACUGGGUCCUGC